rnacentral:rRNA from 1 species
CCUUCAAAAGGGUGUGACCCGGGCGUUGGUUGACCCGGGCGUAAGGGACCGAAAUUAGAGUAGGGAAGCACACUUGGCUGAAGGCGAGAAAAGCUUUGCGUAUAGAAACAGAUGCCCGUACCGCAAACCGACACAGGUGGACAGGAAGAGAAUUCUAAGGCCAGCGGGAGAAGGGUAGUUAAGGAACUCGGCAAAUUGACUCCGUAACUUCGGAAUAAGGAGUGCUCGAAAGAGCCGCAGAGAAUAGGCCCAGGCGACUGUUUAGCAAAAACACAGGUCUCUGCCAAAUCGAAAGAUGAAGUAUAGGGGCUGACACCUGCCCGGUGCCGGAAGGUUAAGAGGAGGAGUGAGAGCUCCGAAUUGAAGCCCCGGUAGACGGCGGCCGUAACUAUAACGGUCCUAAGGUAGCGAAAUUCCUUGUCGGGUAAGUUCCGACCCGCACGAAUGGUGUAACGAUCUGGGCACUGUCUCAACUACCCACCCGGCGAAAUUGUAGUACCGGUGAAGAUGCCGGUUACCUGCGGCAAGACGGAAAGACCCCAUGGAGCUUUACUGUAGCCUGAUAUUGGGUUUCGGAAAUCUAUGUACAGGAUAGGCGGGAGACUGGGAAACAUGAGCGUCAGCUUGUGUGGAGUCGAUGUUGGGAUACCGCCCUUAGGUUUCUGGAAUUCUAACCUGCGGCCGUGAAUCCGGUCGGGGGACAUUGUCAGGUGGGCAGUUUGACUGGGGCGGUCGCCUCCGAAAAGGUAACGGAGGCGCUCAAAGGUUAGCUCAGCACGGACGGAAACCGUGUCUCUGAGUGGAAACGCAAAAGCUAGCCUAACUGCGAGGGUGACGGCCCGAGCAGUAACGAAAGUUGGAGUUAGUGAUCCGGCGGUAUGUGAAUGGAAAUGCCGUCGCUCAACGGAUAAAAGCUACCCUGGGGAUAACAGGCUGAUCUCCCCCAAGAGUCCACAUCGACGGGGAGGUUUGGCACCUCGAUGUCGGCUCAUCACAUCCUGGGGCUGUAUUCGGUCCCAAGGGUUCGGCUGUUCGCCGAUUAAAGUGGUACGCGAGCUGGGUUCAGAACGUCGCGAGACAGUUCGGUCCCUAUCUGUCGUGGGCGCAGGAUAUUUGAGGAGCUCUGUCCUUAGUACGAGAGGACCGGGAUGGACGUACCUCUGGUGCACCAGUUGUCAUGCCAAUGGCACGGCUGGGCAGCUAUGUACGGAACGGAUAAACGCUGAAAGCAUCUAAGCGUGAAGCCGACUCCAAGAUUAGAUAUCCCAUCGUAUAACGAGUAAGACCCCUUGAAGACUACGAGGUUGAUAGGCUGCGUGUGUAAGUGCCGUGAGGCAUUCAGCUUGGCAGUACUAAUAGGUCGAGGGCUUGACCAA